AUGGCGGCCCCGAGGACGAUGAGAGUCGUGCAGUACGACAAGUAUGGCGGUGGAGCUGAAGGCCUCAAGGUGCCGAUGUCGUCGCCGAAGAAAGGCGAGGUGCUGCUGAAGAUGGAGGCGUCCAACAUCAACCCCAUCGACUGGAAGAUCCAGAAGGGCAUGUCCGCCCCUUCCUCCCUGGCAAGUUCCCCUUCACAACAGGUAACUAGCCUCUGA
rnacentral:rRNA from 1 species